UACAGAGGGUGCGAGCUUUGUUCGGAAUUAUUGGGCGUAAAGGGCGCGUAGGCGGCGCCACAAGUCACUUGUGAAAACUCUGGGCUCAACUCAGAGCCUGCAAGCGAAACUGUGGUGCUGGAGUAUGGGAGAGGUGCGUGGAAUUCCCGGUGUAGCGGUGAAAUGCGCAGAUAUCAGGAAGAACACCUAUGGCGAAGGCAGCUCUCUGGGACGGUACUGACGCUGAGACGCGAAAGCGUGGGGAGCGAACAGG
rnacentral:rRNA from 1 species